UCAGGAAANUCUGGAGUAAAAGGCUAUGGCUCAACCAUAGUGUGCUCUGGAAACUGUCUGACUNGAGUGCAGAAGGGGAGAGUGGAAUUCCAUGUGUAGCGGUGAAAUGCGUAGAUAUAUGGAGGAACACCAGUGGCGAAAGCGGCUCUCUGGUCUGUCACUGACGCUGAGGCUCGAAAGCGUGGGUAGCGAACAGGAUUAGAUACCCUGGUAGUNCACGCCGUAAACGAUGAGUGCUAGGUGUUAGGCCCUUUCCGGGGCUUAGUGCCGGAGCUAACGCAAUAAGCACUCCGCCUGGGGAGUACGACCGCAAGGUUGAAACUCAAAGGAAUUGACGGGGGCCCGCACAAGCGGUGGAGCAUGUGGUUUAAUUCGAAGCAACGCGAAGAACCUUACCAGGUCUUGACAUCCCGAUGCUAUUCUUAGAGAUAGGAAGUUACUUCGGUACAUCGGAGACAGGUGGUGCAUGGUUGUCGUCAGCUCGUGUCGUGAGAUGUUGGGUUAAGUCCCGCAACGAGCGCAACCCUUAUUGUUAGUUGCCAUCAUUAAGUUGGGCACUCUAGCGAGACUGCCGGUAAUAAACCGGAGGAAGGUGGGGAUGACGUCAAAUCAUCAUGCCCCUUAUGACCUGGGCUACACACGUGCUACAAUGGUCGGUACAACGAGUUGCGAGCCGGUGACGGCAAGCUAAUCUCUGAAAGCCGAUCUCAGUUCGGAUUGGGGGCUGCAACUCGCCUCCAUGAAGUCGGAAUCGCUAGUAAUCGCGGAUCAGCACGCCGCGGUGAAUACGUUCCCGGGCCUUGUACACACCGCCCGUCACACCACGAGAGUUUGUAACACCCGAA
rnacentral:rRNA from 1 species